rnacentral:tRNA from 1 species
GCGCCGGUGGUGUAAUGGUGUAGAGCAUUCCCGUCCGGAGGUGCGGGUUCGAGUCCUGCCUGGCGCU